rnacentral:rRNA from 1 species
GACGAACGCUGGCGGCGUGCCUAAUACAUGCAAGUUGAGCGCUGAAGGUUGGUACUUGUACCGACUGGAUGAGCAGCGAACGGGUGAGUAACGCGUGGGGAAUCUGCCUUUGAGCGGGGGACAACAUUUGGAAACGAAUGCUAAUACCGCAUAAAAACUUUAAACACAAGUUUUAAGUUUGAAAGAUGCAAUUGCAUCACUCAAAGAUGAUCCCGCGUUGUAUUAGCUAGUUGGUGAGGUAAAGGCUCACCAAGGCGAUGAUACAUAGCCGACCUGAGAGGGUGAUCGGCAACAUUGGAACUGAGACACGGCCCAACUCCUACGGGAGGCAGCAGUAGGGAAUCUUCGGCAAUGGACGAAAGUCUGACCGAGCAACGCCGCGUGAGGGAAGAAGGGUUUCGGAUCGUAAAACUCUGUUGGUAGAGAAGAACGUUGGUGAGAGUGGAAAGCUCAUCAAGUGACGGUAACUACCCAGAAAGGGACGGCUAACUACGUG